CCUUAUCGAGAGUGGUGGAGGGACUGGCCCUAUGAAACCCGGCAACCUGCUGCGAUUUUUGCAGUGAGGUGCCAAUUCCUGCAGGAAGUGAUCCUGGGAGAUG
rnacentral:ncRNA from 1 species